rnacentral:piRNA from 1 species
UUAUUCAUUGAUAAUAUCAGU